UCAAGAAUCACCUCUCAACACAAAACCAAUAAACUUAGCUAGGUAACCAAGGAAGGUAGCAGCAACAGGAGGCAAUGGAGGGAAAGAGGACUACCGCUUUGAUGGUGAUCAUGUGCCUGGUCAUCUUGAGCCUCAAUGUUAACCCGGCCACCGCGGCACAGUGCGACUGCUGCAAAUCCGAUCAGGCAAAACAACUUUGUUCUACUUGUACUUCUACGGGUGCCCCCGACAUAUUCUGCGAGAGCGCCUGUCUCCCGGAUUGUCUUCCGUCCGAUCCUGUUGCUGCUACGACGGAAGGAGGACAACACUAAAACGAUAGCAUGAAUGCCAUUCAUAGGCAUAUGUUGCUAUGCUUCAAGCUAUGGCCAAGUUAUAUUAAUGUUUAUCUCCAAUAAAUUGUUCGCCAUAUGGGGCGACCUCUAGUUGAUCCAUCGUUGGUCUCAACUAUAUGUAUGUCGUGCAUCUGUGCACACGUGUGUGUGGUGACAAGCAUAGUUAAUUCCUCUCGCUGCUUGUAAUAAGGACACAGACAGUCCAUCGUGAUAUGUGUCAUGAACAGUCUAAUAUGUUUAUGUAUUGUCUCUAGCCUUAGCAAUUUUAUUGAAACAUGAUUAUUAUUAUUAUUA